CCUACGGGAGGCAGCAGUGGGGAAUAUUGGACAAUGGGGGGAACCCUGAUCCAGCCAUGCCGCGUGUGUGAAGAAGGCCCUCGGGUUGUAAAGCACUUUCAGUGAGGAAGAACGCCUGGUGGUUAAUACCCAUCAGGAAAGACAUCACUCACAGAAGAAGCACCGGCUAACUCCGUGCCAGCAGCCGCGGUAAUACGGAGGGUGCGAGCGUUAAUCGGAAUUACUGGGCGUAAAGCGCGCGUAGGUGGCUUGAUAAGCCGGUUGUGAAAGUCCCGGGCUCAACCUGGGAACGGCAUCCGGAACUGUCAAGCUAGAGUGCAGGAGAGGAAGGUAGAAUUCCCGGUGUAGCGGUGAAAUGCGUAGAGAUCGGGAGGAAUACCAGUGGCGAAGGCGGCCUUCUGGACUGACACUGACACUGAGGUGCGAAAGCGUGGGUAGCAAACAGGAUUAGAUACCCCAGUAGUC
rnacentral:rRNA from 1 species